UACGGGGGGGGCAAGCGUUGUUCGGAAUUACUGGGCGUAAAGGGCUCGUAGGUGGCCAACUAAGUCAGACGUGAAAUCCCUCAGCUUAACUGGGGAACUGCGUCUGAUACUGGAUGGCUUGAGAUUGGGAGAGGGAUGUGGAAUUCCCAGUGUAGCGGUGAAAUGCGCAGAUAUUGGGAGGAACACCAAUGGCGAAGGCAGCACCCUGGGCCGGUACUGACGCUGAGGAGCGAAAGCGUGGGGAGCAAACAGG
rnacentral:rRNA from 1 species